GAAUAAAAUAAUUCUUCAAUUUUUUAAUAGUCCUAUUAUUAAUUAUUCCUAUAAAUUUCUUUUCUAUAUAUUUAAUAAAUCACGAUAGAACAUCGAUUAUAAUGACACAGGAAAAGAUUUAAUCGCAGCAAAAAGCGAACAUGUCUGUGGAUAAUUGUAUUACGUGCAGAAAUCCACAAUGAAUUGCGAACAAUUAAGGGGCCGGGAAUAAUUCGAUAUGUUCAUCUUCUCGCGUUAAUUGUAUGGCAUCGUGAUAAUUAAAUAUCAUGUGGCAAAUAAAUUAAGGAAGAAAUCGAGCAGCCAAGACAAACGUGUGAUUAUAAUCGCACGAAUGAUUUAAAAUACAUUGUAUUAUAACCUAAGCAAAUUUAUUGAUUAUCAAUACGAUUAGUGAAUCGAGUUAUCAGAACGAUAAACGAUUAAUCGAUCGUAUUCCUAAAAGUUAAUUUAAAUUUUACUUUUAUCAUUUGUAAAUUUAAUUAUUAAUAAUUAUAUCACAAUUGCAACGUGAACCAAUAUCUAAAAUUAUCUAAUUUGUCCCAUAACCUAUACAUAUUAAAUAUUUUUCUUACGAACCACUAAUAAACCAAUGUGAAAAUCCUUAGCUGGAUUAAGUCUGACGCGCAUAUUUUCUUUCUUCUCCUUAACUUUGUUCACAACAUUCUUAGGUUAGUUGAGUUACGAGCCAUUCUUCUCCGUGAAAAACGUUAAUAAAAUUCCUCGGGACGUUCCCGCACGCAGUGGCUGAUUAAAACGCGUAGUCGCGACGACGCGUGCGCGUCUAAUGCGCGCGCAGACAAAAGUGUCCCGACGCUGACGAUUUACGAGUUCGUUCACACUGUUCACACUCUCGUUGCAUAUUAGGCACGCCAUCAGUGCACAUGAAACUAACCUCUACACUGUUUUUCCUUGUAAAGAUGCACAAUAGCGCAUCUCGUUAAAUAAUCAGAGUUCUGUCUAGCGAUAAGCUGUAUAAAGGUGCAAUAACGCUUAUCUUAUGCGUUCUUUGCAUUAUUAAGAAAGGUUGCUGAAAAGACCAGGCUUUAUCCUCUUGCACGUGAAAAGGUUCAGAUCCCCUUUCAUACGAUUAUCGGCGAGGGGAGGAUCCCGCAAGGAUACCUCGUUCCGCCCGACCACGACGACGGCAUCGCAAGGAUUUUUCUCUCAUUAACGGCAUCAUUGAGCGGCUCUCGUGGAAGAAAGGAACGGUGAACGGUCUUCUCUCCGCAGCUUUAGUGUAAACGAACCUUUAUCUCAAUCCCUGGGCGCGUUACAUAUAAGGGAAUCGUAACGAGUAACGACAUUAGGCAUCGGGCUUUUGCCUGCGUACAUGGCAGCAGUCAGCUUAACCCCUCGCGCGGAGAUCCGGUUUUAUCAGCCAUAUUGGAUGCACGCGCGGUCAAUUGUGGACUUAAGAAGCGUGGGUCGGCCGACCCUGCCGAGACGACACCGGCCCGCUUUUUCUUCCACCUCACCUUCUUGUCCAUCUCCUCCCUUCUUUCCCCCGUGAUUCGGUCUAACUGUAGUGCGGAAUGCCGAGCGACGCGGAAUUGGCCGAGAAACGAGGGGAGGGGAGGGACACGGUUUCGAUGUCGAUGGAAAAAACAGAUUCGUAUUGGAUGGGAAAAGAUACGUAGGAAGUGUUGACAGGUGUGACUCUUUGAGGUUAUGUUUCUCAACAUAUCCAUCCAUCGUAACAAUCUCGUAAAUAUUUUCGAAUUUGUUUCUCGAUAUACUCGAUAUUGUUCGAGUACAUCUGAGUAUUUGUUGGAAGAGCAUCAGUUAGAUGAGAAUGUCGGCCGAAGAUAAUUCUGGAAACGAUAUUGCGUAUGAUUCAACAUGUGGGCGAAUGGGAUUAAAAAAGUAGAUACGUGAAACGCUACGAAGCUCGUAAACAUCCUCCGAGCAACGUGCUCUCGCUGUUGUUUAUUAUUAGGAAAAGGAUGUGCCCCGAUUCCGUUUAGAUAUUAAUUAUCAUACAUUUUUCUUCUCAAAAGAGAGAAACAGAAGAAGAAUCGAAAAUUGUUUCGAUGUUUACAGGAGAAAAUUAAUUUUAUUAGAAAAAUUGUGCAAUAUUUUUGAAUCGUACUGUACAAUGUACGGGGAGUACAAUACGUGGUCGCACCAGUUCCAGUUCCAGAUCUACUAUAAUCAACGUAUUAGAUUUCAAUAUAGAAAUCUUGGUUACGUAAAAUAAAUGCACAUGCGAGAGAUACAAGCGACCGCAAAACAAUACAAGCAACGAAGAACCGGACUUUCCACGCGAUUGAUAAUCCUUCUUGUUAUAUUAGCGAGCAUAGAUCCCCUUGUAAAAUGAUUUUCUCUUCAUUGUGCGAUAAGGAUUAAUUAUCUCUCUUUCGUUUAAUUACGAAGAUAAGAAUCUCGAUGCUUAUCUUCGUUCAAGAUGAGUUUAAUGUUUGAAAAUGGAUCGUUUAGUGCGCUAAAUUAAUUCAUGACGUUCGGUGUGCUUUAUUGAUAUAAAAUAAAAACAGGUUUGAGCGAAUUCUAAAUACAAACGAAUAGAACUUAUGAUAUAUAAAUUAUGAAUAUUGAAUUAACAAUUAAUAAAGAUAAGGCUAAAAAAACAGAGAAGGAUUUCUUUUAAUUUAAAUUACAAAAGAUUCCAGACUAUCAAAUAAUUGGAAAUAAAUUGAUUCACGGAAUCAAUUGAUAGAAAAAUCAUUCUUAAACUUCUAUGAUCCUGAAUCUGAAUUUUUCAAAGCUUCCAAAACAGGUUUGAGCGAAUUCUAAAUACAAACGAAUAGAACUUAUGAUAUAUAAAUUAUGAAUAUUGAAUUACAACAAUUAAUAAACAUAAGGCUAAAAAAACAGAGAAGGAUUUCUUUUAAUUUAAAUUAUAAAAGAUUCCAGACUAUCAAAUAAUUGGAAAUAAAUUGAUUCACGGAAUCAAUUGAUAGAAAAAUCAUUCUUAAACUUCAUGAUUUUGAAUCUGAAUUUUUCAAAGCUUCCAAAACAAGUUUGAGCGAAUUCUAAAUACAAAAGAAUAGAACUUAUGAUAUAUAAAUUAUGAAUAUUGAAUUAACAAUUAAUAAAAAUAAGGUUAAAAAAACAGAGAAGGAUUUCUUUUAAUUUAAAUUACAAAAGAUUGCAGACUAUCAAAUAAUUGGAAAUAAAUUGAUUCACGGAAUCAAUUGAUAGAAAAAUCAUUCUUAAACUUCAUGAUUUUGAAUCUGAAUUUUUCAAAGCUUCCAACGAGAUUGGAAGAACACUCAAUCAUGAGAGAAUACAUUUUCACAGAUUAAAUUCGUUUAUCGUAGUGAAAGUACACUAUUUCAGGAUUCGAAUAACAAAGAGCAUGCAUGCUUUAAGGAAGAAGUAAAACGAAGAACGCGAUGAGAAAAGAGAGAGGGAGGGGAAAAAAGGAGAGAAAGACUGAAAAUCCGCAAGAGACUCGACCCGUUCUCAAGAUCCAUAUGCAAUCCCAGGCCUGGAAAUACGUGAGACAGCGUCGAGGGCAACGCCGUUCUCCUUUGGAGUUUCUGCACGUGCAACCACGGGGACCUGGUGUCGGGAAAUCAAGUUCAAUGGCGUCUCGUUGGACGAGCAUCGAUCCCCGUCCGCAUACGAGCACGUUUUCGUGAACGCGACGACGGGACACAAUCUAUUCCGAGGAACUGAAAGUUCAACAAGGAUUUUCAGGAGGCUUGUAUCACAUCAUACAUGAUUCGUUCAGGAUCCAUGAAAAUCGUUUAUUAAUUAUAUAUAGAGAAAAAUAGAAAGAUCAUUUUUUAUUUUUCAACCUUUGAGGUAGGGUUCUUUUAAUAAUAUUUUUAACCAGCCUGUUGAUUAAUUAAGUCCAUGGAUUGAAUAUUCACCGUUUUUUAAAAAUGGUAAUUGGACUUAUACGUUGGGGAUAAUUGUUGAAUUUGUUGCAGUUUUCAUUCCUUUUUUUAAUUUGUGUUUGGCCUGAAUAGUUAUUAUGUAUGGAAUAGGUUAUUGGGAUACUAAUUAGUAUUUUAUAUCUGCAAUUUGAGGUACUUUUAAUGGAAGUUUCAAGUUUUAGAAUUGUUGAUAUUUAAUUUAAUGACUUUGAUCAAUCAAUAUAGAACUUUUUACAGAAAUUGGCUCAAAAUAUAAGAAAGCAAUUCAAUGUACAUAAGAAAAUUAUAAGUAAUUUAUUAUAUAAUUUUUUAAAUAUGAGUAAGAUGAUUUAUUAUAGUAAUAAUAAAUAAGUUUUAUUUUUAUACACUAACUUUUGUGUUUGUUUUGGCCUUUAGAAUCGACCCUUUAAAGAUGUCACUCGAAUAAAUUAACACCAUGUAGAAGUAUCCCCAAGAAACAUAAUACAGAUGCCUCAUUAAGGGUUCAAGCAACCCUUGCUGAUAGAGCGUAAACCUGGCAUCUUCUUUCCACGGAAUAUUCAUAUCUACGGCUUCCAAACUUUAACACGUGCUCUGUACUACACCACGCAUAACAAGAUCCAAUUAUCAACAUGUCGAACUUAAUUCUCAAUUCUAAUAAAGGAAGUGCAUUCAACCAUCUCAUCCAUAAUCAAAAUAUUCUUCUUUAUAUUUGUAGAAAACGAAGAAUUUAAUUUACAAGAGUUGAUGAGCAGAAAUCAAAUUGAAGAGAACACAAAUUUAUACAAAAAGUUCUAUAACUUUAGAUAGAAUCUCAAUAAAGAAUUAUACCAUUAAAAAUCAUACAGCAUAACUUUAUUGCCACGCAAAUACCAUCGUCCUCCACUCUAUGUCGCCCACUUGUUCCCAGCCACGUCGUAUGAUACAGGUUGCCUCUUCCGUGUGAACUCUAUCCACGCCAGAUCUCUCUAUUUAAACGAAUUUGUCCGACAUACUGUAACAUGGUCCUAUGCAAGCUAUGACGAAAAACAGGUAUAUACUUGACAUGUGAUAAAUCUCUCUAAAAGAACUCUUUCAAAGCAUUAAGAGGAUAAUAUCAAAACUGUACGUACUUACUAUGUCAUUCAUUUUAUGAUUACAGAUGAAAGAGAUUUUUAUAUAGGAAGAAGUACGAUUAAAUUUGAUUUUUUAUCGUCACUUUUAUUAUUGUCACGAGAAAACAAAAGACAUAACAUAAUGUGUGUUUUUAAAGGAAGAUAAGAAAAAAAAUAUGAAAAUUCUCAAGUUUAAAGAUAACAAAUGUUUAAUGAUUAGAUUAAAAUAGUUUAUUAAGAAAGAAGAAAGAGAAAAAUUUUAAUCAAUUUAGAUUAAAAAUUAAAUUUAUUGUACGGAUGAAAAAGAUUAAUAAAAUUGAUAGAGCAAAAUAUCUAAUUUCAGAUGUGAUAAUACUAUGAAUUUAAUAUUUAAAUUUAAAUUAUAAUUUGUCAAUAAUUAUUAAAAGAGAAAGGAAUAACUUGAACCGUCAAAAUUCCAUUAAAGAUCAGUAAAAUAUCUUUCAAAUGUUUUUCCAAUCUUGAAGAUAAUAUAACAUAUACUUUUAUACAUAAGUAUAAGUAUAUGAAUCAGCUUAUAUAUGGCAAAGGAAUGAUAAACUGUGGUCUUUAAACUGAUACCCGGUUACAAAUGAGUCUGCAAUAAGCAUUAGAGAUAAUAUUUCGUCUUAUCUUCAUCUGCUUUGAAAUGCAGGAUUAAUGGACAUAAUGUGAAUCAGCCUGUAGAUGCACCUACGAGUAUAUUCGCCGGGCAGGCACUUGGCGUUACAAAUGCAGUCGGAGGAGCAUGACACGCCUACGCUUUACUAAGCCCACACGAGCACAGGGCCGUAGAUAUUGUGACCCAAGUGUCACAUCUUGGAAUGUUAUUCAUCAACUAGUCGUAUUCGUAACAGGAAUGUUACGAAUUACGAGGAUACAGUUAUUUUCAAGCGAGUAUUAAUAAAACUGUCAUUAUAAGUGAUGAUCACGUACAAUAACCUUGUAAGAUUAAUUAAGAGAUUCACAUUCGAUGACAAAUGUAGCCAUGCAAAAAAAAGAAAAUAA